CGGUGAAUACGUUCCCGGGUCUUGUACACACCGCCCGUCACAUCACGAAAGUCGGUAGCACCCGAAGCCCCUCUUUUGAGGGUCCACGGUGAGAUCGGUGAUUGGGGUG
rnacentral:rRNA from 1 species